rnacentral:lncRNA from 1 species
CCACCGGGUCACUGGUCGAAUCGCAUGAUAAACCGGAUUAAACCGGAUUAAAUCGGUGGAAUGAACCGGCCUCUAUAAUAAAACUAUAUAGUUAUUAAACCGAAUAACUUGGUCUUUAAAAAAUAUCACCGGAUAGAAUUAUUAUUUGUAAAAAAAAAAAAAACUAGAAUUAUUAAUUAAAAAAGAGUAGUUCAAAAAAAAUCUAUUAAAAAGGCAAAUAAAUAGCCAAAACAAAACGAUAGGAAUCUCAAAAUAAAGGCAAAUUUUUCAAUUUUUUUAAAUAAUAAAAAAAAGAAAGAAAGAGAGGCAAUAAAUGAAGAAAGAAAACCCUAUUUUGCUAAAUGUUUCACUUUCAGUUUCAGCAGCGCCUCCCUCCCAACAUCAGUUUUUUUCACCUUCUCCUCUCAAACCUUCUACUCCUCCCUGUCAUUAGUUUUCUUCUAUCUCAAUUUCUACAGUUCUGCAGAUUCACCUUCUCCUCUCAAACCUUCUACUCCUCCUUGUCAUUAGUUUUCUUUUAUCUCAAUUUCUACAAUUCUGCAGAAAAUCUGCAUCAUUGAUGUUGUGUUUGCGGUCUUGCUCAUCUCGUUCUCGUGUCACACUCUCUUUGAGAUCUAGUUUACGUUCUUUCUUUCUCAAAUUGUCCUGAGAUCUAGUUUAAUUCUUUCCUUCUCAAUUUUUUUAUUUCUCUAGAUCUCCAUCUUUUUUCUCGUGAUCUCUCUUUUUGAAUCAGUGAAAAAAAAAAAA